UUACAAGCAGGUAUUUUCUUUGAUAAAUGUUGGCUUCAUCUAUCACACAAGAGUCUCUGGGAACUCGGUGUCCCAGCAGUAAACACUUCUGUUUGACUGGUGUUGAAAGAGUUAACAAAGGUCGAGUCGCAGGUGGUAGACGACCAACACAACAGUAUACAUGCUCUGCCUAGUACCUAUCACGAUCUACGUUGCACUUUUCACAGUUUCCAAAAAGAUUAGAAUAGAAGUUAUUUAUGAUUCAUAGUGUAAAAAAAGAUUUAUCGAGUAUUAGGCCCAAUAUACUUGACUUUGUGAAUCAAAGAUAUUUAUGUUACAGUUAAAAUAAUGAAGAAUAUAAAAAGUUAAAAUCUUACCUUGUUUAUGUUUACUUAAUUUUUCAUCCUGAUAGCGAGAUUCUGAGAUUAGUUAAUAUGACUCCCAAAAAUUGAUGAAUGACUCCUAAUCUGAAAAGUUGGGGGUCAUAAUGACUCCCAAUUUUUAAUGUCUAGGGCAAACCCUGCAUGUUGAACUUGAAGAGCGAUGGUCUUCACACUUCUUUAUUAUGGCGACGACAAAGGUCCUUGUAAUGGAUCACUUAUAUGGAAAUCCAUGUUGUGCCAUGUAUGUUAUGUAGUUAACUAAACUAUCCUCCUCUAAAUUUAGCAUAGGUUUUGGACCACGUUUUGAAAAAUCUUGAACGAGUCCAUGAACAUGAUCAUCAAUAUUUUUUCUUGGUACAGCAUUUUGCCUUCAAGCUUGCGGAACCGUCAUUUUCCUUGCCCCUUCAACACCAACAGCAUUAGCCAAACUUUUGGCUGGGUAUCUUUGUUUUUUUAAAAGACAGCAUCGAAAAUUAGAUAUUUAAUGAAUGAUAAUGGGUGCUAUGUAUUCCUCUAAUAUAUUAUCAUGAUUAUUUCAACUCGUAAUUUUAGUUAAAUCUUAUGUAAUGGCUACAUCAUGUUGCAUUACAAAUAAAGAAGAAACACUUCUGAGCUGGAUAUACAUGAUAUAGCCUUGGCCAAAAAUUUCAUGUGAGUAGAAUCUCCUAAUUAAUGGUGUUUCAGAUGGCAUCCAUUUCGGAAACCUUGACUUAGAAAUUACUCUAGUAAGCUUUUUAUUCAACAUUUUCUAAUUUGUCUAUUAUUGAUUUGACUCAGCUUAUCUUAAAUUAAAAGGACUCCAGGGUUUAAUGAAAAAUGAAGCUCUGCAUGUUGCAUAGCCGUUGAGUAUGUAGUUUAAGAUAGGGUUGUUAACGGGACAGUCUUUGGUUUUGUUUUUGGAAUAACCAAAAUUAUGUGAUGUUUGUUAAUUGAAUAAUGAUAAUCCGAAUAAGAAACAUGACUAUUAAGUUAUGAAACUCAACCAUAUGUUUUCGUUAUGUCUAAUGCCUAUUGUAUAUAGCAAGUGACUGGUUGUUGUCUGCUGUAUUCUAUCGUCUGCUGACGGAGUGUGUAUCAAAUGUAGUCAGGAUUCAUACUGUUUGCAAAUGCAACAUAGCAGUUCCCUGAUCUGAUAAAUUAUGUGUACUGGAUCUGUGAGGUGUAAACUCGGCAAUAUAAUGUUUGUCAUAAGUUUCUUCAGACUAUCACCUUAAUAAAUGAUGUCUGCCUUGUGCUUACCAACAGUUAGUUAGUUACAGUUAGUCAUGGUUUGUCGAACAGGCCCACUAUUGGAGGUAGUGUAGUACAUCUACUGUACCAACAUUCAAAUAAUUCUUGAUAGACUAAAUUUAUUUGUCAUCAUGUGAGUUGGCAGUUUAUCGUCUAUUUGGGCCUAUGACAUGACAAGUCUUCUCCUGAUGUUCUGGUUCCUUUUUUGACAUUCUUCUUUAAUGCUAUAUUUGAUUCUGCAUAUUUUCCCUCAUCUUGGGCUGUUGGCCACAUUGUUCCUAUAUAUAAGAAAGGCGAUGCCAAUUCUCCCACUAAUUAUAGGGGUAUCACUAUCUUAAGUGUAUUCAGUAAACUUUAUAUUUCUAUUUUAAACAGAAGACUUCAGUUUUGGUCGGAAUCCUAUGAUAGACUAGUAGAGUCUCAGGCUGGUUUUAGGAGUGGAUAUUCCACAACUGAUAAUAUUUUUGUUUUAUAUUCAGUAAUAGAGAAAUAUUUGGCUAAGAAACGAGGUGUGAUUUAUGCCUUGUUUGUUGAUUUUGCCAAAGCCUUUGAUUCCAUAGAUAGAUCCAAAUUGCGUAUGGUACUAUACAAAAAUGGUAUUUCUCCGAAAAUGUUCUGUUGUAUACAGUCAAUUUAUAAACAAGUUUUGGCAUUGGUCAAAUACAAUAACUCAUUUUCUGAUAUGUUUAGCUGCAGUAAGGGAGUUCGUCAAGGAUGUGUCCUUAGUCCCAUUUUGUUUGCCUUGUUCAUAAAUGAUCUUGCCAUAGAUAUUGAAUCCAGUUGCGCACAUGGUAUCCAAUUUCAUCCAGAUGUAGUUCAAUUGUUUUUAUUACUUUUCGCAGAUGAUGUCAUUCUCAUAGCAGAUACUGUUUAUGGUCUCCAGAAAAGAAUCAAUGUGUUAGAAUGUUAUUGUAAAGAUUAUUCAUUAACAGUCAAUAUUGAUAAAACUAAAGUAGUAGUUUUUAAAAAUGGGAGUGUUCUUUCAAAAUAUGAAAAAUGGGUUUACGAUGGAAAAUUGUUGGAAUGUGUAACUACAUAUAAAUACCUUGGUGUAUUAUUUUUUCGAAAUCUAUCUUGGAGUGCACAUAUAUCUAAUGUUGUUAAUCAAGCUAAAAAGGUUUUAUUUAAGCUUUUGAAGUCCCUACAGCUAAUUAAACCUACUCCUAUGAAUAUUUUCUUUAAAAUUUUUGAUGCUAAAGUUGUGCCAGUACUUCUUUACGGUGCAGAAGUUUGGGGUUUAUCUUUAUCGUUUUGCGAGGAGAUUGAAGUUGUUCAUACACUUGCUUGUAAACGUAUUUUAGGAGUUAAGUCAGCAACUUCCAAUCAUGUUGUGCGUGGAGAGUGUGGGAGAUACCCUUUGUAUAUCUAUGCUUUCAAAAGAUGCUUGAAUUAUUGGUGUAAGAUUUUAAAGAUGCCCGAUUCGCGUUAUCCACGAAAAAGUUACAAUAUGCUUGUGCAGCAGGCCAUAGCAGGUAAGACUAAUUGGGCCUCUAGAGUUAAAUUACUUUUGUACGCCUAUGGCUUUGGCUACGUAUGGGAAAAUCAGCAUCUUGUUAUUUCUAUUUCAUUUAUUGAUGAGUUCAUACAAAGAUUAAAAUGCUCUUAUGAACAAGAUUGGCAUUUUGCUUUGACCAAUAGCCCCAAGUAUUCAUCAUAUCUUUGUUAUAAAUUUAGGUUUAGCAGGGAAUUUUUUUUAUCGGCUAUUACAAUCAAUAAGUUUCGCGUUGCACUGGCACGUUUUAGAGCUAGCUCCCACUCGCUCCACAUAGAAACCGGGAGAUAUUUUGGUAUCCCAAGACAGCGAAGGUUAUGUAUGGUUUGUAAAACAGGCUAUGUUGAGUCUGAAUACCAUUUUGUAUUGGUUUGUGAAAAAUAUUAUGCUCUCCGAGUGACAUAUAUUCCUCAAAAAUAUUAUGUAAAUCCAUCAAUAGAACAAUUUUACAUACUUAUGUCGUCUCUGCAUCAGUCAACAAUUAGAAGUCUGGCUUGUUAUAUUUACCACGCUUUUAAGUUAAGGAAUUCAUUUUUGCAGAAGUAAUAUUCUUUAUCUAUGAAUGCCUUGCUGUUGUGUAUUUAGGUGUACACAGUUGUAUUUUUAUACAUGUCUGGUGAACCGAAUUGUACUAUGGGCCGCUGGCCCACUCAUGUACUGAAUAAACAGAUUAGACAAGAAUAAAGCAGAACCAUCAAAGCUAUGUUAAGCAGACGAAUAUCCGCAAUAUCAUUAUGUUGCUGUCACAGGUCACCAGGUAUGUCGGUGCUAUUAAAGUUUGGGGACGUGGGCGUCUAACUGGUGUUGCCUUUUUUAUUACUUACUGCAAAUUGAUUCCAUCAUCUGUCUUCUGUCUUGCUGGCUGCCUUGUGAAAACAAGCGGAAGUGACAAUAUUUGUAACUGCGAACAAGUCAAACAGGGGCUUGGCGAUAAUUGGUACUUGGCGAUAAGUGGUCGCUAGCCAGUGUAUGUGUUGGUUUCACUUUGGUUAAAUAAAAGGGUGAAGUUUCAGACAACAUUUAAUGGUACUUAAUAUUCAAUGGAGAAACUUCACUUUAGCAAUAGUGUCUUUAGGCAUUCCCACUAUAUCAAAUCAGUAUAAUUUGUGAAUAUGAUGAAGAGUGUACAGAGCCUAGAUCCCCUGACGAUGGGGAUGAAGGGUGUACAGAGCCUAGAUCCCCUGACGAUGGGGAUGAAGGGUGUACAGAGCUUAGAUCCCCUUACGAUGGGGAUGAAGAGUGUACAGAACUUAGAUCCCCUGACGAUGUGGAUGUAGUGUGUACAGAGCUUAGAUCCCCUGACGAUGGGGAUGAAGUGUGUACAGAGCUUAGAUCCCCUGACGAUGUGGAUGUAGUGUGUACAGAGCUUAGAUCCCCUGACGAUGGGGAUGAAGUGUGUACAGAGCUUAGAUCCCCUGACGAUGGGGAUGAAGUGUGUACAGAGCUUAGAUCCCCUGACGAUGGGGAUGAAGUGUGUACAGAGCUUAGAUCCCCUGACGAUGGGGAUGAAGUGUGUACAGAGCUUAGAUCCCCUGACGAUGGGGAUGAAUGGUGUACAGAGCUUAGACCCCUGACAAUGGGUGAUGAAGAGUGUACAGAGCUUAGAUCCCCUGACGAUGGGGAUGAAGUGUGUACAGAGCUUAGAUCCCCUGACGAUGGGGAUGGAGUGUGUACAGAGCUUAGAUCCCCUGACGAUGGGGAUGAAGUGUGUACAGAGCUUAGAUCCCCUGACGAUGUGGAUGUAGUGUGUACAGAGCUUAGAUCCCCUGAUGAUGGGGAUGAAGAGUGUACAGAGCUUAGAUCCCCUGACGAUGGGGAUGAAGUGUGUACAGAGCUUAGAUCCCCUGACAAUGGGGGAUGAAGAGUGUACAGAGCUUAGAUCCCCUGACGAUGGGGAUGAAGUGUGUACAGAGCUUAGAUCCCCUGACGAUGGGGAUGAAGUGUGUACAGAGCUUAGAUCCCCUGACAAUGGGGAUGAAGUGUGUACAGAGCUUAGAUCCCCUGACAAUGGGGGAUGAAGAGUGUACAGAGCUUAGAUCCCCUGACAAUGGGGGAUGAAGAGUGUACAGAGCUUAGAUCCCCUGACGAUGGGGAUGAAGUGUGUACAGAGCUUAGAUCCCCUGAUGAUGGGGAUUGAGAGUAUGCAUGGCAUGGAUCCCCUUAUGAAGUUUUGAGAGAGGAUGAACAGCUUGCUGAAGCCUUGAAGAGCAUUAUGAAAGGGAAAUCCUGGAAAGGUGAAGCCAAGUAAAGGCAAAAAGGUUGCACCUCCACCGACAGUGUCAGAUGAAGAUUCAAACAGCUCCCAUGAGGAAAGUGAGGAGG
rnacentral:misc_RNA from 1 species